rnacentral:rRNA from 1 species
UGAGGAAUAUUGGUCAAUGGACGAGAGUCUGAACCAGCCAAGUAGCGUGCAGGAUGACGGCCCUAUGGGUUGUAAACUGCUUUUGUUUGGGAAUAGUCGACAUUACGUGUAAUGUUUUGCAUGUACCAUUCGAAUAAGGACCGGCUAAUUCCGUGCCAGCAGCCGCGGUAAUACGGAAGGUCCAGGCGUUAUCCGGAUUUAUUGGGUUUAAAGGGAGUGUAGGCGGUUGGUUAAGCGUGUUGUGAAAUGUAGAUGCUCAACAUCUGACUUGCAGCGCGAACUGGCUGACUUGAGUACACACAACGUAGGCGGAAUUCAUGGUGUAGCGGUGAAAUGCUUAGAUAUCAUGAAGAACUCCGAUUGCGAAGGCAGCUUACGGGAGUGUUACUGACGCUUAAGCUCGAAGGUGCGGGUAUCGAACAGG